UACGUAGGCAGCGAGCGUUGUUCGGAGUUACUGGGCGUAAAGGGUGUGUAGGCGGUUGUUUAAGUUUGGUGUGAAAUCUCCCGGCUCAACUGGGAGGGUGCGCCGAAUACUGAAUGACUUGGAGUGCGGGAGAGGAAAGUGGAAUUCCUGGUGUAGCGGUGAAAUGCGUAGAUAUCAGGAGGAACACCAGUGGCGAAGGCGACUAUCUGGGCUGCAACUGACGCUGAGGCGCGAAGGCUAGGGUAGCAAACAGG
rnacentral:rRNA from 1 species